AGUAAAUUGCUCGUGUUUCCUCCUGCUGCUACAACUUUAGCGCAACAGCAUUUGCAUAGUAUUGUAGUUUGGUCGACGUCGGACUUUUUAAACCCAAAGUACUUCCAAACAACGGACACAGCUCCUCGUUUCGGUACAAGUUCUUCUGUUUCAUUCUCUUUCAUUUUUC